rnacentral:rRNA from 1 species
CCUACGGGAGGCAGCAGUGAGGAAUAUUGGACAAUGGGCGCAAGCCUGAUCCAGCCAUGCCGCGUGCAGGAUGAAGCAUCUAUGGUGUGUAAACUGCUUUUAUACAGGAAGAAACCUCCCGACGUGUCGGGAAUUGACGGUACUGUAAGAAUAAGGAUCGGCUAACUCCGUGCCAGCAGCCGCGGUAAUACGGAGGAUCCAAGCGUUAUCCGGAAUCAUUGGGUUUAAAGGGUCCGUAGGCGGGCCAGUAAGUCAGUGGUGAAAUCUCUCCGCUCAACGGGGAAAUGGCCAUUGAUACUGCUGGUCUUGAAUUAUUAGGAAGUAACUAGAAUAUGUAGUGUAGCGGUGAAAUGCUUAGAGAUUACAUGGAAUACCAAUUGCGAAGGCAGGUUACUACUAAUGGAUUGACGCUGAUGGACGAAAGCGUGGGUAGCGAACAGGAUUAGAUACCCUGGUAGUCCACGCCGUAAACGAUGGAUACUAGCUGUUGGGGGCAACUUCAGUGGCUAAGCGAAAGUGAUAAGUAUCCCACCNGGAGUAGUCGCGAGANAGAAGUAAGAAGUAGAGNGNGAGAGAGCGAGACGACGACGAGGGAGGAGG